UGGGGAAUAUUGCACAAUGGAGGGAACUCUGAUGCAGCGACGCCGCGUGAACGAAGAAGGCUUUCGCGUCGUAAAGUUCUUUUAUAUGGGAAGAUAAUGACGGUACCAUAAGAAAAAGCCCCGGCUAACUACGUGCCAGCAGCCGCGGUAAUACGUAGGGGGCUAGCGUUGUCCGGAAUCACUGGGCGUAAAGGGUUCGCAGGCGGAAAUGCAAGUCAGGUGUAAAAGGCAGUAGCUUAACUACUGUAAGCAUUUGAAACUGCAUAUCUUGAGAAGAGUAGAGGUAAGUGGAAUUUUUAGUGUAGCGGUGAAAUGCGUAGAUAUUAAAAAGAAUACCGGUGGCGAAGGCGACUUACUGGGCUCAUUCUGACGCGGAGGAACGAAAGCGUGGGUAGCAAACAGG
rnacentral:rRNA from 1 species